UAGGGGGGCAGAUCACGUGAUUUUGGGGUAGGUUUAUAUAAAGUCGCAUACUCGACAGAAAAUCAUAUUUCGUUACAAACUCUGAUAUCUUUGGGGGUUGUAGAGAAAUUGGAGCCAGUAUAUGAACAUUUUGUUUUGUUAAAUUGUCUCCAUACUGCCACUUUAUCAAAGGAGAUACUUUUCACGUCAUGAAUUUAGGAGCUCUUGUCUGGGCGAUUCUGUUGGGCGUCCUUAUUACUCAGAUUGACGCAAGGGCACAUCGACUAAAAAGGCAAUUUGGUGGCUUUGGUGGCGAAGAUUCAAACCCUUUCGGUUCCGGAA